CCGGAAAUAGCAGAGACGUGGGCCAUGAUCACUUUUUUUUUUUUUUUUUUUUUUUUUUUUUUUUAGUGUUCAGCAAAUUUCAAAGACUGGGAGGGGUGGGGCAUAUUCCUAAGAAAGAGGAAACAGGGACAUGGAGGAAAUGAAACAGUGAAAGGGGAGGACUUAAGGAAGGGAUAAAGAAAGGGGCCUAUCAAAGGAUAGCCAACUUCCCCAGGCCUGUCUUGUCCCCAGUCACCAAGGCAGUGAUGCAGUGUAUCUCUGUGAGGGAAUAAGGUAACUAAGCUAACACCACAAUGACUGUCCUCCCUCUCUCUUACUCUCAACAUGCUGAGUUCUCUGAGAACUGCUUACCCCUCUCCAAGGAUGAAGAUGUGUGAUAUACUUACAGAGGGACCUGUAUCAGAAACUCAGGGAAAGCAAAGAGGGAUUAAUUGCCUUUUUUUCUUCCAGGACACCAAGCAGCUUGGUUCUGUGGACAAUGAGGCUUCAUGACUACCUGCAAACAACUAUGGGUGACAAGGUUACAAGGAUUUUCUACUUGUGGAUUUCAAUUCAACUGGAAAGACACCUCCUCAGGUCUCCCUACACUGCUGGAGUGGUUCUGCCAGCAUCUUCUAUCUUCCCAUCGUUGCCCUGGAUACCUGCCCAGUUCUCAUCCCCCACCUUCAAGAGAAGGCCGUAACCUUAGGCCUGGAACUGGAACUGGAGAGGAACCAAUGAGGCAAGGCCGGCAUAGCUUCAAGGAAUGAAGUCUGGGAAUGAAAGUAAGUUCGUUUAACUUAUUAAUAGAGCCCGUAAAACACCAGGUGAACUGGAAGGUCAAGGGCAAUGACUUGAAUGAAUCUUCUGGACUAUCAAUGCGUGGAACUGACCCAUAAUGUCUUCAUCAUGCUACUUCAGAGAAAUCAGCUGCCCGGAAGCAAAUUGGCUGACUCUAACGAAGUUAAUCCAUGGAUAUUUGAUGAAGUCCAAACUAUCAUUAUAACUGUAAGUAUUUCAGCCCUAAGCAAUUUUCUGAUAACCUGGACAGAAGGGGAGUGAGUCAGGAUGGAUUUACUUCUAGAGCUAUGUAUGAGGGUGCAGGUUGGAGAAGGUCAAAGCCAGUCUGGGCUCCAUAUAAGUUCAGGGUGUGCUUUAACUGUAUAAUGAAACCCUGUCUCUAAUCUCUCAUAAGAAAACACAGACC
rnacentral:lncRNA from 1 species